rnacentral:rRNA from 1 species
AGCAGUAGGGAAUAUUGGGCAAUGGUGGCAACACUGACCCAGCCAUGCCGCGUGCAGGAAGAAGGCCCUACGGGUCGUAAACUGCUUUUCGGGGGGGAGAAUACUUGGCCUGCGGGCUAGGCUGACGGUACCCCCGGAAUAAGCCACGGCUAACUACGUGCCAGCAGCCGCGGUAAUACGUAGGUGGCGAGCGUUGUCCGGAUUUAUUGGGUUUAAAGGGUGCGUAGGCGGGCGGCUAAGUCAGGGGUGAAAGACGGUGGCUCAACCAUCGCAGUGCCUUUGAUACUGGUCGCCUUGAGUGCGGGCGAGGUCUGCGGAAUGGACCGUGUAGCGGUGAAAUGCUCAGAUACGGUCCGGAACACCGAUUGCGAAGGCAGCAGACUGGGGGCGCAACUGACGCUGAGG